rnacentral:rRNA from 1 species
AACACGUGAGCAACCUACCCUUCACUCUGGGAUAAGCCUUGGAAACGAGGUCUAAUACCGGAUAUGAGACGCACGGGCAUCUGUAGCGUCUGGAAAGAUUUAUCGGUGGAGGAUGGGCUCGCGGCCUAUCAGCUUGUUGGUGGGGUAAAGGCCUACCAAGGCGACGACGGGUAGCCGGCCUGAGAGGGCGACCGGCCACACUGGGACUGAGACACGGCCCAGACUCCUACGGGAGGCAGCAGUGGGGAAUAUUGCACAAUGGGCGCAAGCCUGAUGCAGCGACGCCGCGUGCGGGAUGACGGCCUUCGGGUUGUAAACCGCUUUCAGCAGGGAAGAAGCGAAAGUGACGGUACCUGCAGAAGAAGCGCCGGCUAACUACGUGCCAGCAGCCGCGGUAAUACGUAGGGCGCAAGCGUUGUCCGGAAUUAUUGGGCGUAAAGAGCUCGUAGGCGGUUUGUCGCGUCUGCUGUGAAAACCUCAGGCUCAACCUGGGGCUUGCAGUGGGUACGGGCAGACUAGAGUGCGGUAGGGGUGACUGGAAUUCCUGGUGUAGCGGUGGAAUGCGCAGAUAUCAGGAGGAACACCGAUGGCGAAGGCAGGUCACUGGGCCGCAACUGACGCUGAGGAGCGAAAGCAUGGGGAGCGAACAGGAUUAGAUACCCUGGUAGUCCAUGCCGUAAACGUUGGGCACUAGGUGUGG